GAUUGGUCUGAGAGCUGAAGAUGGGAAAUGGAAGUGGGUCGAUGGAAGUGUUCUGACUGAAAACUCCUGGAUACAACAACCUGCUACCAACGGUCAGUGUGUAAUUUCUGUCCAGAAAGAAGGAUGGAAAUCAGUGAGCUGUGGUGCCAGAAACAGAUGGAUCUGCAAAAAGAAGGCUUUAUCUCUUUAAACACUGCAGUCAUACUUGAGAAGGUUACUGGGGACUCUGUAAAGAUUCAUUACAUGGAAGAUGAUGUCAACUGGCUUGUUCUUUGCUUUUCUUUUCUUUUCUUUUAUAGCAAAGAUGAAAAAAUUUUAUCAAAGUUAAUCAUUUUUCAAA